rnacentral:rRNA from 1 species
AUGACUGAUGAUCGAGCUCUUUGCACUUGCGCCACACAUCUUGUGGUGUGGCGCAAACAAGAGGGCACUUACGGAGACGUACCAGUCUCCCUGCUGAUUGAUGCAUCACCGGUACACGCCAGGCUAUACACGGCCAUAUUCGUCAGAACCAAAAGCGUGCAGGAUCUCAGAGCUAAAACAGUAAUAAAAAAAAUUGAAGCAAACAGUCUGGUUUGUGUACAUGUAGCUUUUUUUUUGAAACAAGCGUGUACGUGUAGCUUUGUCCGACGCCCAUUCUGUCCAGCGCCUUGCCUUUUACUGUACUGA